rnacentral:lncRNA from 1 species
CCCUUCCCAUGCGGCCGCCCCGACCCCGGAGGAUGGAUUCUCUUAUGUUACCUUCCGCAGUUAGCCCCCCUCCCUUCAAAAUAUGGGUUCCCCCCACUGACACUGUGAUGCCCAUCCCUAACUGGGGCGCCUGGAAAAUGGUGAAAUGGGGACUGGGCUGAAAGGUGGCUCGUGGUCCUCCACGCCCCGGCCUAGACCAAAGGGCGCGGGGCUCCGGCGGGGGACGCGACGCCUUCAGCCAGGCGUCCGAGCGAUUUUCAUUCACUCCAAGUGACACUCCCUUAAAAUUAAUAACUGCAUCUGGGAGGGCGAGCGUGUCCUCCCCACUCCCCUUGCCCCCUCGGCGGCAGGGGCGCUGGCCCCGAAAAGCGGCGCACCAGGAUCCAGCCUGGGCGCCUGGCAGGGAGCAAUCGCGAGAGGGGAGUGGAGGUGCGGGGUGAGGCCGGGUGGGGGGCCUCGCCGCGGGGGGAUCGGGUAGCUCUGGCGGAGGCUGCGCCCCCGGCGUGCUCGGGCAGAGAAGAACGGAGGCCCGCUGAGGAUGGGAACUCAGGCUCCGGGUCUGGGACACAAUAAUCCGGCCGAAGGCGAGCGGCCACACUGGACUAGGAAACGAGGCGCCGGGCUGUAAGGUGGGCCCGCGCCUUUUCUCCUGCCUGGCGCUGAUUCCCGCAUUUUUCGCUCGCGCCCUGCGCUGCGCGCUGCCUGUGCGCCUCCCUGGGCG